UACUAGCCCCGUGUUUCUGAUUCAGUAUCACUGAAAUACUUUGGAACCAUAUAAAGGGCAAAGUACAUUCCACAUGUUGAAGGACAGUGCCUGGCCCUGUGGGGUGUCAUCCCCAAGCUGUAGGCAUAGUGGCAACCCAGGGGUUCAUCUCAACUCCCAUCAGAGUUCAAACAUUGAAUUAGUUGUGCAAUGGAAGGAGUAUUACCAGGACCCAGAUGCAGCCCAAGGAAAAAAGAAAACAAAAGGAGACACACACGAUUCUUCCCUUGACAUCACACCAGGAAAGUCUGACAACUUAACUUUAUUGGAUAUAGGCAACCGUUGAAUCCAAGUUUUGCCCAC
rnacentral:lncRNA from 1 species